AUUAGGCAAAAAUAUAGCGUGUUAUAGUGUAUUAAAUUGUGUUUUUAAGUGUUUUUAUAUACUUUGGUGUGGUCUGUGUAUUAGAUUGCAUGCUCUGUUGAUACGCUAGGGUGGUCCUUUGCAUAUUUUUUGCAAAGAAACAUAUUAAGCCUUGCCUAGUCAAUCCUAAAGCCCUCAUAACACCCUCUUCAAAAAAUCUACUUUAUCAUCGGCGCACCGCCAGUUCGAGGCCAAGCGCAAGUCGCACUACAACGAGUUCUACGCGGUGAAGCUGGCCCGACAGCUGAUGGAGAAGGACGAGGAGUUGCUGGAGGCCGAGUCGGAGGAGGGCGCCGGCCCGUCCUCGGCUGCCGGGCCGUCCUCAUCGUCUGCCGAGCCGGCCCCGGCCCCUGACUCGGCCCCGUCGACCAGCUCGUAGACGGACGGCCCGCCGAGACCGGCCCGGCGCCGGAGCCCGUCUUUGUAUUGGUUUGGCAGGCGCACUGUGUGUCCGGCCCGGUGCAGCCAUUUGUGAUACGGUUUAGCCAGAACGCUGCUGCUCCUGCUAACGGUGUGACGCGGUGGACGUCACGUCAACACCACGGUCACGUCACUGCAACCGUCAGUCACGUCACGUCUUGUCGCCGGAUCGACAGCCGCCGUGACGGGACCGGGAGGGCAGCCAAGCUGUGUGCCGCAGAGGCUGACGGAGGACUCCUCUAGGACAAAGGAACAAAGGUGGUGGCUCAUCCCACCAUGGUGGUGCCCCGGCGGCUGGCGCGCGCGGAAGCCACUCGUGGUCGCCAAGAAGCGUCAUGCCGGUCCGACCAGCUCUCGGUGGACACAUCCGUUAGCGCCGCGUCAGGCGGGCAGUGCGGCCGGCGGUCGCGCUGGGGAAGGCGGCGUGCCCUAUCGACCCGGCGACGCAGUGAUGGAGGCCGCCGGCGGACUCAGACGGCCGCGGGACACGUAUGCGAUACCUCGCUGACCGAGAGCCGGCCGGCCACCCGCUCCGGCGCGGAGCCGAGGCUUUAUUUACCGCUGGGGACGGACAUGCGCGUACCGCUGGGGGCCCGUGCUGAUUCCGCCGACGGCGUUGUCCUAUGAUGCUGCAGUGCAGCGCGUACUCUGUAGAGUGUAGGGACGUAAGAGGCAUCAAAUUACGGCGCGGAAGUGCGCCAGCUCGGAAAGUCGCCGGCCGCAACCGGCCUUCUGAUACAAACUCGGUACCUACUUCCAGGCCGCCGGCUCGAGGGACCGGCCCAGUGCCGACGCCAGGCUCAUCAGUGGAAUAGCGCGCUAGGAUGGAUGUUAUGAAUGUAAUUGUAAAGUCAACGACUCCGCGCGGGCCUGCGUUAGACGAUCGAUAAUGUCCUGUUCGCUCCUCGUGUAUGUCUGUGUUUGUUUGGGUGCGUGUGCAGUGCAGAUUGUGUGGGUGGGCGUAUCACAGAUAGCGUCUGAUUGUCGCCGGUGUAGCAAGGAUUGACCUUCCGAAUAAUCCUCGCUGAUUGUCGUUGCAAUAAACGUCGAAUGCUGGUGUCACA